UGUUUGUGUUGUGUUUACAGUUAUUUUGUUCUUAGUACUGUGUACCUACUAACUUUCUUCCCCUGGUUGUACUGAUUAUUAUUCAUGAUGGCGUUCUUAUAAUAAUAGAUUCUAGAUCUAUGCUAGGAACGGGCACGGGACAAAAUUAUAGAUAAAAAAAAAUUAUUUUGCUUCCAUAUGGUUGGCAGCGACCAGUAAAGUAGACAAGUUUCAUUUCAACAGUUGUUUGCUUAUUUCAUGCUCAGUCAUCUUAUAGCUGCGCCUAUUGGCAAAGUACUCAAAAUUAUCAUCAGGUAUCUUCUGUUUGCUUACAACUGUGCUCUGAGCUCCAAAACACAAGAGAACACCUCUUUGCCAACAUCAGCUUAUCUGUUUCUCCAGCACCUGUGGUAGCUUCGGACUUGCAUAAAGUAUCAAAAGAGAUGAAAAUAGUUUUGUAACCACCUCUCGGAGAGCUUCGUAUUUGCAUAUAAGUGUACCUCUCCAGAGCGUGCGGUCCCGUAUUUUGUUUGAGUCAGAGAGAGUCAAAUGCUGUAGAAAAAUUCACCAACCGUGAUUGCAGAUUGUCUCAAACAGCCAAUACAGACACAGAGAUCAGUAACAGUUGCUAGAGCCAGUGCAGCGUUCAGACGACUCGAAGGAAAAACAUCUGAGAGCACAGAGUAGAGACUUCAGUCUGAGCACAAAGCUGAAGGUUUAAGACAGCGUAGUGAUCUUUGCCAUCGUUCUCCUCUAUGUCAGUUUCAUACUUUGCACUUUUUGCCUGUCUUAUGACGCUAUUUCGUCAAAUUUAUUAUGUGAUGAACAGUAUUGAAGGUUACACAGUGUGUUUUUGAACAGUGCAGAUCUGUUUGCUUUUUGAAUAGAUCUUGAAUUUUGAACAGUGUGAGUGUUGCUAUAUUUUGUGUGCUAUUUCAUAGAGGAAGUAAUUCACAUUUGUGUUUCUCGUCAAAAUCUGCUUAGAAACCAAUUGACGUCAGUGGGAAUCUAUGUCGAAGAGGUUGAAAAGAACAUUGUGAGAUGGAAGCUUUGGCUGUUCCAGUUGAGGAAAAGUUGACUGCGAGCUUUUAGGAAAAUAAGACGUUUUGAAAUUUUUGAAAUGCAGAACUUUGUCCAAAGUUGAGAUGCAGAAAUAAUUCAGUGUCAAACUUCAUAGGAAGCAAGAUUCUAAGAAAAGAAACUCCAGUUUGGGACAAUUUAAGUGAACAAAAUUUGCCUUUAGACUUUAGGUUGCCUUUGCCAUUGUUAAUUUUGUUUAACAUUUGGCACCUUCGAUGUUUUUUUGUUGUGAUUGAUUUCAUCGAUCUUUUCACUGUGUUAAAUGUCCACCUGAAAACAGGCGUUCCUCCAGAGGACGGAGAGACACGUUGGACCGGCAAGAGAGGACGAGUCACUGGAGAGCCCGUCAUGAAGCCGGAAGACGUGGCCACUCAGCAGACCUAAGCCAAGACUGGCCUGAGCUGGAUUUCCAGCAGAGACUGCCACAGUUCCCCUUCCCCAUCCCCUCCCUUGCAGAAGUUGGAAGUACUGGGCCUCAUCGUGGCGCAAGGGUGAACACCCUGUUCAAACCACAAGACACAUGUCAUGCUGAAACAGGAGCAGACUGUGUGGAGAGGUUUGAGCUGGGUGGCCAACACAGUACUACACUCACCAGUGUGAAGGAUGAAUGGAGAGUCUAUAGGCAAGUGUGCAAAAUGUGAGCUGUUGGAUGUAGUUUGUUAAUGUAUUGAAUGAAGUCCAAACUUGAACCUCUUGUAUUUUUUUAAUGUAUGUUAUGUAUUUCUUUUAAGCAAAUUGUUAAAUCUAAGUUUUGACUACUGCCACAACUAGUAUUUUAUCUUUUAUGUCAUGUAUAUUGGGGCUGGAAGUGUAACAGUACACUACAGGUUUUUAAUGCUGUCCUCUGUUUAAUUCCCCUGACUGCCCAAUAUCAAGGGAAAUGACUCUAACAUGACUAAGUUAAGGAAAAUGUCAUAAUGAGUUAUUUCCUUUCGUACAAACUGGUGAGAUGGCCUGUAGGUUCCCUGCCUGCUUGAGAUGAUCAUUGAUUGCUAGCUCGCAGAGUUAUAUGAUGGUAAAAAGGAGAUUGUCACAGCGCAGUGGCUGAGCGGGUACAGUGUGUAGUGUGCACCUCUGCUUGUCAGAUCACUGAUGGUGUUGCUGGGAAAGUUUACUGUAGUUUAGUAAUGGCUGUACAACUUAGGUGCAUGGCAAGGGGGAAAUACUAUCGGGUGGUAUAGAUUAAGUACUCAAAACAUGUCCGAGAUCGACAAAAAUGUGUUUGGCGCUUUCUUAAUUCGGAUAAACCAAUACAAUGAAGCAUUUAACAGAUAUCAGUCGGGGAAUGGCAAGUUGUACAAGUUAUCUGUGCUUAAAUGUAAUAUAUCGUGUAUGUUUUUAUGAUAUCAGUGUUUCGUUUUGUGCCUUGAUAAAACCUGAUGGUAAGCAGGGCUGGCAGUAUCAGUUUGAUAUAAAAGCCUCUACUGUAUUACAAGCUUUUGUGAGUUAUUAUUGUUGAUUUAUUUGAUGUAGUCUGUCUACUUACAAGUAUUUAUUGCAUUGUAUCAUGCAGUUGCAUGAUUUGCUAUAGCACUGAUUAUUCCCCCUUUGUUUGGGAUUAUUUUUUUUGAGGUGUGGUAUAUUUUCGGUUUUCCUACUUUUUGUGUUCCUAUGUCUUUUAUGGCUCCAUUGACAUAAUUUAAGUCAUAUUUGAGACGUGCUUUUUUACCCUGCCUGUCAUGGUUAACACAGAAAAAUUGAGUUACUCGAUAAAUAUUUUCCCCACUCUGGAAUGGAACUCAGGUUUCUUGUGUGCGAUAGCUAAAUGCUUAACCCAUACGCCACAUGUGCCAGUCUUUUGGGGUUUAGACAUAGACUUUCUUCUCUUUAGUUUUAGACUCUUCUUCUAUUUUUAGGAUUAAUCAUAUAAACUUUUUUCCUUAGAACUUGUAAUGGACCAAAAGUGUUGAUUAUCCAGAUUAAUCCGGAAAUCUAUAUUUCUGGCUUUGUCUGGAUUUUGCCUAAUUUCAUAGACUUUAUAAUUUUUAGAAAGCCUUGGUACAAGUUGUUGUAAGACAGGAUGAAUGGUAAAUUUUGAGUAGGCCUACCCGUGCAUGUUUUCACAUGGCCUGAAAGUUCGAGAUUUUUUUUCUCCAACGCCAAUUGACAAAUGACCUCUGAUGGACUUUUUUUUCUGUCUGUGAUGAAACUCUCUGUCUCAACUUUCUGUUCAGAUGUGCUGUUUUACUUCUUCUGCGAUGUUUUAUUUUUGUCUUGGAUUGAUGCUGUUGUUGGGGACCUUGUUGAAUGGAAUCUUACAAUAUGAAGUUUUUACUGUGUAUUAUUUUUUAAAGCAGAUUUGGUUCAGUGUCGAAUUCAUGAGCCUGUAAUUUUUUCCCUGUGUGGAUAGAAGAAACAAUUAUAAAACAUAAGAAUUCAUAGAUGUAAUAAAGUACAUGAAUAGAAUUUUUCCAAAA
rnacentral:lncRNA from 1 species